GCCGGGCGCGGUGGCGCGCGCCUGUAGUCCCAGCUACUCGGAAGGCUGAGGCAGGAGGAUCGCUUGAGCGCAGGAGUUCUGGGCUGUAGUGCGCUAUGCCGAUCGGGUGUCCGCACUAAGUUCGGCAUCAAUAUGGUGACCUCCCGGGAGUGGGGGACCACCAGGUUGCCUAAGGUGGGGUGAACCGGCCCAGGUCGGAAACGGAGCAGGUAAAUAUAUAUUUUUCUAAUUAAAGGAAAAUCCCCUAUGAUACCAUUGCUAAUAACAUUUUGGUAUAUUUUAUUCAGGUGUUGCUUCAU
rfam:Mustela putorius furo unplaced genomic scaffold scaffold00162, whole genome shotgun sequence.